UGUUUGACCUCAUUAAGGUGUCUCAUCCUAGUUUACUUUCAUGGGAGUUAUUUAUCAAACACUGAAUUCUUUUUAUUAUUGCUGGUUCAUUGGUAUUAUUGGGUUCAUGGGAUGAUAUUGCCCCAUGCUUUUUUUGACUGAUUUUAUUUGGUUGAAGUUGUUCUUAGUAAAAAGAUUGUUGGCUGCUUAGUAGUUCAUAACUUUGGUAUUUAAUAAAAAUUAUUUUUCUUAAGACUGCGUGUCCUACGAGUUCGGGUCUUGUAGUUCAUGGCCGGUCACUACCUUUUUGGGGUGUAACACGCAUUCAUGGUGACAAUGUGUCCAAAUUGAACUUAGAUUGGUACUUGAUAUGGUUAGUUAACACCCAUCCCCUGUUACUUCUAGCUUGGAUUCGUCUGUAGGUAAAUGAAAAUUUGGGUGCAAUCAUAUUGUUAUUGAAUUUGACCCAUCCAAUCCUGUCACACUUUUUGCCCUCUCUUUCAAGUUAGUUUUAUUCUACAGUAAGGAAUGAUUUCUUUUUUUGCUUUUGUUUUUUGCUUUUUUGGUCAAUUAUUUGUUUCUGUUAUGUUUGCAAAAUACAUGAAUAUUAGAUUCACUUGCACGGUUCCUCUUAAAUUAACCCUCCUUGAGUGACCAUGUUUAUGUGCUAGGAAAUUGGUGAAAUGUGCUGGAGGAAGGGAGCUCAGCAUUUUUCGGUUACUAUCGAAAUAUGUCAAGGAUCCUUCAUCAGCUAGUAAAUUUGUUGAUAUCAUGCUCCCUUCGCUAACAAAGGGAGUUCAAGACUGUGAUGCAUGUGUGGAAGCUUUGAAGGUAAUUUGACAAAUGAUACAAAAAUUAGGAAGUGAAAGUACAACAAAAAUUUUGAAUGUAGUUUCUCCGCUUCGUACUUGUGGUAGUCUGGAUGUAAGGAUGUCUAUUUGUGAUCUUGGUGCUCUUGCUGAAAUUGAUUCUUCUUUGGUUAAUGUGGUGGAGCUUGUUCAAGGGCUGAAUUCAAUGUCGCUAUGGGGAUAGGUGGUCUUGACUACGACAGUAUUAUUAACUCUUAUGAAAGAUCAACAAAGACUACUUUUACACUGUUUAAGAGAAGCAUCCCUUAAGUCAUUUUGUCUCAUGUUGUCCACAACUUGUCAUCAAAAGAAUGGGUUUUAAGGCAAAGCAGAUUUAAAUUAGUGCUUUCAUUUGUUGAAUUUUCUACUGAAAUUCUUGAUCGAGAAGUGAAAUAUGAUGAUCAAAGUUGGUCUGAACCGUGCAUUCAAUGAACAAUUAACAAGUUCUGUCUCAAACAUAUGGGAGAUGCAAUGAACAAAGAAGCUCCUAUUCAAAAGGU